rnacentral:rRNA from 1 species
UUUGAUCCUGGCUCAGAUUGAACGCUGGCGGAAUGCUUUACACAUGCAAGUCGAGCGGCAGCGCGGGGCAACCUGGCGGCGAGCGGCGAACGGGUGAGUAACGCAUCGGAACAUGUCCAUGUCGUGGGGGAUAGCCCGGCGAAAGCCGGAUUAAUACCGCAUACGCCCGAGAGGGGAAAGUGGGGGACCGCAAGGCCUCACGCGAUUGGGUUGGCCGAUGUCCGAUUAGCUAGUUGGCGGGGUAAGAGCCCACCAAGGCGAUGAUCGGUAGCUGGUCUGAGAGGAUGAUCAGCCACACUGGGACUGAGACACGGCCCAGACUCCUACGGGAGGCAGCAGUGGGGAAUUUUGGACAAUGGGGGCAACCCUGAUCCAGCCAUUCCGCGUGAGUGAAGAAGGCCUUCGGGUUGUAAAGCUCUUUUGUCCGGAGCGAAACGGUUACGGCGAAUACCCGUGACUACUGACGGUACCGGGAGAAUAAGCACCGGCUAACUACGUGCCAGCAGCCGCGGUAAUACGUAGGGUGCGAGCGUUAAUCGGAAUUACUGGGCGUAAAGGGUGCGCAGGCGGUUUUGUAAGCCAGAUGUGAAAUCCCCGGGCUUAACCUGGGAAUGGCAUUUGGGACUGCAAGGCUAGAGUGCGGCAGAGGAGACUGGAAUUCCUGGUGUAGCAGUGAAAUGCGUAGAUAUCAGGAGGAAUACCGAUGGCGAAGGCAGGUCUCUGGGCUGACACUGACGCUCAUGCACGAAAGCGUGGGGAGCAAACAGGAUUAGAUACCCUGGUAGUCCACGCCCUAAACGAUGUCGACUGGUUGUUGGGGGGUUUGACACUCUCAGUAACGAAGCUAACGCGUGAAGUCGACCGCCUGGGGAGUACGGCCGCAAGGUUAAAACUCAA